rnacentral:rRNA from 1 species
AAACUUAAAUGAAUUGACGGACCCGCACAAGCAGUGGAGCAUGUGGUUUAAUUCGACGCUACGCGAAGAACCUUACCAGGGCUUGACAUCUGGUUAAUACCCUAGAAAUAGGGGAUAGUUAUAGCCAAGACAGGUGGUGCAUGGUUGUCGUCAGCUCGUGUCGUGAGAUGUUGGGUUAAGUCCCGCAACGAGCGCAACCCUUGUCCUUAGUUACCAUCAUUCAGUUGGGGACUCUAAGGAGACUGCCGAUGUAAAUCGGAGGAAGGUGGGAUGACGUCAAAUCAUCAUGCCCUUUAUGUCCUGGGCGACACACGUGCUACAAUGGCCGGUACAAAGAGACGCCAACCAGCGAUGGUGCGCAAAUCUCAAAAAGCCGGUCUCAGUUCAGAUCGAAGUCUGCAACUCGACUUCGUGAAGGCGGAAUUGCUAGUAAUCGCGAAUCAGCCAUGUCGCGGUGAAUACGUUCCCGGGGUUU